rnacentral:lncRNA from 1 species
GGGACGGGGGGAGGGAGAGGGGGGGGAGGGGAAUUUGUAGAGUGCCGAUGGUGGAUGGGGAGGAUAGUGGGGAGAAGGCGUGCGUUGGAGUGGCGACGGGGUCCAUCGGGAAACGUGUGGAGGAGCAUCGGAGUGACAUUGGGAAGGCGAAUCUUAGCACGGCUUUGGCGGGCAAAGCAUAUGAGGGUGGUAUAGUAAUACAAUGGGAUGGGGUGGAAUGUAUUGGGAAGCUCCGGCGCCGGGAGCAGCCAGUAGUGGUGGAGUCCCUAGAGAUCUUAAAGAGAGCAAGGGGGGAAAUAUUAAUAAGUGAUAAAC